rnacentral:rRNA from 1 species
CCUACGGGCGGCAGCAGUGAGGAAUAUUGGUCAAUGGGCGCAAGCCUGAACCAGCCAAGUCGCGUGAGGGAAGACUGUCCUAUGGGUUGUAAACUUCUUUUGUCGGGGAACAAAGACGGAUACGCGUCUCCAGAUGCGUGUACCCUAAGAAUAAGCAUCGGCUAACUCCGUGCCAGCAGCCGCGGUAAUACGGAGGAUGGGAGCGUUGUCCGGAUUUAUUGGGUUUAAAGGGCGAGCAGGCGGGGAUACAAGUCAGAGGUGAAAUGUGCGGGGUUAACCCCCGACCGGCCUUUGAAACUGGUGUUCUAGAGUUGGAGAGAGGUAUGCGGAAUUCCUGGUGUAGCGGUGAAAUGCGUAGAUAUCACGAAGAACACCGAUUGCGAAGGCAGCAAACCGGACCCAUACUGACGGUGAGGCACGAAAGCGUGGGGAGCGAACAGGAUUAGAUACCCCUGUAGUC